UCCAAACCCAGCAGCAAACACUAUAUAAUGUGCAGAAGACAAGAAGCUAGAUCCUGGGCGCUGGCCAAGGCAGGCUUUCUACUGGACACCACAUGCACAGAGUUCCCAGAGUCCUGAAAGAAAAGAUUCUUUGUGAAGCCAACAUGUUCAAGAUAAGACAGGCUGCUUUCCUUUUGCUGGAAACUGCCAAAACCGUGAAUGGCGUGAGAAGAUCUACAUACCAGGCCUGCCUGCACUCUACUCCUUAAAUAAGAUUAGAAUUAAAAUGUACAUAUUCUGAGCUCAGUAGUCAAGACUAAGCAUGAUCCUACUUUUCAAGUACAAACCUAUACCUGGCCUUUCUCAAUUCUGGCUUUGGGUUUUGUUAAUGUGAUU
rnacentral:lncRNA from 1 species